AAAGUUUGAUCCUGGCUCARGRKWMAYAUUGGCGGCGUGCAUGASACAUGCAAGUCGAACGGACGAUCGGGGCUUGCUCCGAUCGUUAGUGGCGGACGGCUGAGUAACGCGUGGGUGACCUGCCCCGAAGUGGGGGAUAACGGCCCGAAAGGGUUGCUAAUACCGCAUGUGGCGAUGUGUUCGGUCACAUCAUCAAAGCCGKAAGGCGCUUCGGGAGGGGCCUGCGUCCGAUUAGCUCGUUGGUGGGGUAACGGCUCACCAAGGCGACGAUCGGUAGGUGGUCUGAGAGGACGAUCACCCAGACUGGGACUGAGACACGGCCCAGACUCCUACGGGAGGCAGCAGUCGGGAAUUUUGCUCAAUGGGGGAAACCCUGAAGCAGCAACGCCGCGUGAGGGAUGACGGCCUUCGGGUUGUAAACCUCUUUUCUCAGGGACGAUGAUGACGGUACCUGAGGAAUAAGCCACGGCUAACUACGUGCCAGCAGCCGCGGUAAUACGUAGGUGGCAAGCGUUGUCCGGAUUUACUGGGCGUAAAGAGCGCGCAGGCGGUCGUGCAAGUCGAGUGUGAAAGCCCCCGGCUCAACUGGGGAGGGUCACUCGAUACUGCUCGACUCGAAGGCGGGAGAGGGAAGUGGAAUUCCCGGUGUAGUGGUGAAAUGCGUAGAUAUCGGGAGGAACACCAGUGGCGAAGGCGACUUCCUGGCCCGUUCUUGACGCUGAGGCGCGAAAGCUAGGGGAGCAAACGGGAUUAGAUACCYCGGUAGUCCUAGCCGUAAACGAUGGACACUAGGUGUUGGUGGUAUCAACCCCGCCAGUGCCGAAGCUAACGCAUUAAGUGUCCCGCCUGGGGAGUACGGCCGCAAGGCUAAAACUCAAGGAAUUGAUGGGGCYCGCACAGCAGCGGAGCGKGGGUUUAAUUCGACGCACGCGAGAUCUUACAGGACUGACAUGACAGAUCGCGGCGGAAACGUCGCUUCCCCGCAAGGGCUGACCAMAGGUGAUGCAUGACUGWCGUCAGCCUCUGUCUGAAAUGUUGGUCAGUCCGCWACGRGSCUAUCCUGCCUGGGGUGAUCACUCACGGACUGCCAAGAACUCGGAGCAGUGGUGUACUUCAGUCACAAWGACCUACGUYCUGGCUAUC
rnacentral:rRNA from 1 species